CCUACGGGAGGCAGCAGUGGGGAAUCUUGCGCAAUGGGCGAAAGCCUGACGCAGCCAUGCCGCGUGAAUGAUGAAGGUCUUAGGAUUGUAAAAUUCUUUCACCGGGGACGAUAAUGACGGUACCCGGAGAAGAAGCCCCGGCUAACUUCGUGCCAGCAGCCGCGGUAAUACGAAGGGGGCUAGCGUUGCUCGGAAUUACUGGGCGUAAAGGGAGCGUAGGCGGAUAGUUUAGUCAGAGGUGAAAGCCCAGGGCUCAACCUUGGAAUUGCCUUUGAUACUGGCUAUCUUGAGUACGGAAGAGGUAUGUGGAACUCCGAGUGUAGAGGUGAAAUUCGUAGAUAUUCGGAAGAACACCAGUGGCGAAGGCGACAUACUGGUCCGUUACUGACGCUGAGGCUCGAAAGCGUGGGGAGCAAACAGGAUUAGAUACCCUGGUAGUCCACGCUGUAAACGAUGAGUGNUAGUUGUCGGUCGAUGCAUGCAUGUCGGUGGACGCGAGCUACG
rnacentral:rRNA from 1 species